AUGUUUCUCAGUUAUGGAGGUGAUAAUGAGUUCGUCGUAAAGGGUUACGCCGAUGCAAGCUUUUCCACUAAGUCCCUUUACUCGGCCAUCGCCCCUUCGUCGGCCCCCGAGCCCUUUAGCCUGAUUUGGGACAUUCGCCUACCUCUAAAGAUCAGGAUCUUCUUAUGGCAGUGAAUCCGGGGCCGCCUCCCUUCUGGGGUUGAGGUCCUUAAGCGUAAUGGACCUGGAGAUGGGAUUUGCCCCCUGUGCGGCACAGUGGAGGAUGCUAACCACAUCUUCUUCUCUUGCUCCAUAGCCAAGUUCCUUUGGUCCUGUUUCCGUGAGACGGUCGGUGGAAAGUGGUGCAACACCAACUUCCCUGACUUGCUUGCUGAUCCACGCCCGAAAGCACAAGUGCUCCCUGGGUGA
rnacentral:rRNA from 1 species